GUGUACUGGUUAAGGCUGCUUUUGAGUGAACCUUCUUCAAAGAACUUCCCUUGGUCUUUCUUUUGUCUUUCUUACCAGCUGCCUCCAUUGGCAGUCUCAUAGAUAUCCAUGUUGGAAGGCACCCUUGGGAUCAUUGAGUCUAAGCCUUGACUCCACACUGGUUGAGUUACCCUUAAAUCUCUGCAUCAUCGAGGUUGAAAAAGUCCCUGAAGAUCAUACAGUUCAACUGCAAACUUAACACUGCCUACUCCACCCCAAUGCCACAGGUCAGGUCCCCAAAUGCCACAUGCGCAUGAUUUCUAAAUCUUUCUGAGGGUGGUGACUUAGCCAUUGCCCUAGGCAGCCUGUUCCCAAGCUUGAUAUCCUUUUUGUUGAAGGAAUAUUUCCUAGAUCUCUAUCCAAAAUCUGAAUCUCCUGUGGCACAGCUUGAGAUAAUUUCCUCUGGUCAUAUUGUUUGUUCCCUGGGCUAAUAUAAUAAACCCCACUUAGCUAUAACCUCCCUUCAGGGAUCAUCUGCAUCUGUCACGUGCAGACGUUUGAGCUGUGAAACCAGCUGCUCCCAAAGAAGAGAAAGGUGCUUCUUUUACACAAUGUUUCCUAUGAUCCAAAUGCAAAAGGACAAAAUGUGUUCUCGGUGGUCAGAAGUUUCAGGCUGUCAGGAAACGUUUCUAUGUGGGGAAAACCUUUCUGCCAAGUACGUCAGCUGAGGGAAUCCAUACCCUUCCAAGCAGAAGGAAAAAUCCUAACUCUCCUUGUAGAAAAUGUGAAAGUUUGGAGUGAAACUCAGUGCUAGAAUGUGCCAGGAUAUCCAUGUGGAUUUUACUAACCUGCAAGGCCAGACUGUGAAGAUGGGAUCCCGGAAGCCAAGAAAUGCCCUCUUGUUCUGGGGCUUUCUAUUGCACUGGCAGCACAAGUUUGCCAAGGCUGUUUGGUCUCAGCCCAGGCAAGAGCAGAAAGAAGCCCUCACCUGGCUUCAUAGACCCCUGAGAUGAGCAAAGAUGAGGAGUGUGCAGAGAAGGUAGACCGUCAGCACUGCACAGCAGCUUCUCUCAGCUGUAAAUCACAGACAUUUUAAACACUAAAGUUAUGGUUUGGGGUUUGUGUUGUGUUUUGCUUGGAACCUUUUGCCCCACAGGAAAACCUGUGGCAUUUUCCGUGUUGCACACCUGGAUUUGAAUGGUCCACUCUCGGUGCUGCCUAGAUCGAACUCAAAAUUGUUCCUUUACCCCUCUCUUUCCUCUGUUAUGAAGUGUCACUUCAAAGGGUUGAUGGGUAAUACCACUUCUCUUUUCUCAUCUUGUGCUCAGGAACUAGGAGAGCCACCGCUCCCCCUCCCCUGCCCCAGAGCUUGAUCCUAAAAGGUUUCUGCAGUAGGGUAACACGGUCAUGUUGCCAGUAGCUCAGCUGCCAGCACCAGUGGUAGUGCCCAAAUCUCGUUCCACCACUGCAGGAGCUCUCCGCCCCCCCAUCUUGUCCAGAUCUGCAGCUUAUUUAAAUGUUGAGGUUUUUAUCUAGCUCCCUGAAUAAAUAAACAAUCCUAUGGCACAGGGAAAUUGAGGCUGUAAUUUAGGGAUCAAACAGCAGGUAGGGACAGGACUGGUUUAAGGUAACCUAAAUAAAUUAAUCUAACUACAGGUGUUGUGGAAAGAGGUAGUUGU